UUCUGGUGUGUCUGAAGGCAGCUAUAGUGUACUUACACAUAAAAUAAAUAAAUAAAUAUUACAGAUGGCUGGGAAUUGAACUCAGGACCUGUGGAAGAGCAGAAGCUUCUGUUUUCUUCCUGAGCUAUUCAGUGUUGCAGAUCUGCCCCGCCCCCACCCCAACUCUGUUUUUGUUGUAUCAUACAUUUGAAUAAACCAUAUUUUCAUUGUUCAAAAUGUUCAGGUUUCUCUUGAAACUUCUUUGACUUAUGUGACAUUUAGAAAAAUGUUGGUUUCGGUUUGUUUCUGGUUUUGUUGUUUCUUUUGAUUUUGCAGUUUUAAGAUGGUAUGAUCUUGGACUUUGUGAACUUAAAAAAAAAAAAUCCUAUCUCUGCUGGUAAGUAUUUGGGACUAACAGCAUGGAUCACCGUUUUAGAAAUAGAGUGUGCAACUGUCAAAUAUUUACAGGUUUCCCGGCUAUGUUUCUGCUGUUCCUGGUUUAAUUUCACUCAACUCCAAGAACCUGUGUCCCUUUGCUUCCAGAUUGGGUCUUGCUAAUAGCUGAAGCUGGCUUCGAACUCACGUCGCGCGAGUGCUGUGAUGCGAGAGGCCUGUUCUGUUUUUAAGCUUGUUAAAGUGUGGUUUUCAGUCUGCAAUGUAACCUCAGUCAAUAUUUUAUCUGAAUUUGAGAAUAAUGUUCACCCAUACUUGUCGGAUGAGUGUUCUUCAAACGUCAACAGAUCCGGGUGACUAAUGACACGGGCUAGGUUCCACUUGGCCUGUGCAUUUUCUGUCUGAUAGGUCAAUUACUGUCAGGUGAGUGCCGGAGUUUCCAGCGCUAAUGGAUUGAUCUUUUUGUGUUUUCGUUAAAUGGUUUUCUGUUCUCUGGGAUAUUUUGACUCCCUGCUGUUCAACUUGAUCAUAUUAAUGAGUUAGGUCUUUUUGGAUAAUAGACUUCAAUUGUUUUGUGUCUGUCUCCUCUUCGCCCCUGGUUGUUUUCCUUGCACCAGCUGGCCCUGUGGCUGGAAGCUUGGAGUUUGCUCCCUUUGAGUCCUAUCCCUGAAGUCUCCCAUCUUCUGGGAGGCAGACGGACAUCUUCAGGCUCUGAGGCUGAUUUACAAACAAGAGUUGGUGGAUCCACAGAACAACAGCCAGGAACUAACAAGAGUCUAGUCGGAAACAAUGCCCUCCUUCAGUUUAGUCACAAAUCGCGCAAAACCGCUGUUAGCUAUUUUUCAAAACUCUUGAUGCUUGGCAAUACCGCUUUGCACUUUGGUCAUAGCAUCAAAUACCUUUUUAUUUUGCCUUGUUGGGUAGUUUUCAACAGAGUUUUGCUUUGCACCAACAUCUCGCAGUGACCCAACACCUCCUGCAGUUCUGGCAAACUCUGGGUGAGCUUGGAGUCUCCGGGAGCUGGAGCUGAGGUCAGAGAAGCCCGGGACAGCCACGAAGCCGUAGGUCCUCGCGCCUAACCACCACAGUUAAGGAUUCUGAUACGUUACCAAACCGCCAGCCACCCUGAAAGAAAUUGCAAUUUGAACUUCUACCAGAAAUCAGAAACACCUUCGCUGCCUGCAGGGGUGACUGAGACCCUGAAGUCCAGAGCUUUGCUGAGUGUCCACUUGGGAGAGUAAACCUCCAAUGGUCUGCCAGUGCAGUGAGCAUUUCAACCGGAAUCAUUGUAAAUCACUUACAAAGCGGAUGGAUCAAGUGCUUGAAAGCUGAGCCCAGCAGGUGAGGGAAAACAAGAGCGUGGGCAGGAUGCUUAGCCUGGAGAUGCUCACUCCUCAAGGCCAUGAAGAUUCAGACUGAAGGAUUCCUGAGAUACCGCGGUGAGGCAGCUUGGAGCUUGCCCUGCCGGGGCCAUCAAACGUCUGCCAACAAAAAGCCCACCUGGACCUUGGAAAACUGUGUCCUCUCUAUGCAAAAUGCAGUGAGCGCCUGACUUCUCCAGGAGUGAGCAUCUUUACUUCGAGGUUGUCUUCAAAGUCAUUCAGAUUCUUUUUGGAGCCCUUGAAGCUGCAAUUUCUUCCUGUGCUGUGGAACCUGAACUUGCUAAAGACGCUAGGGUUGGUCUCCUCGUGGUCUUGGCCAGUUCACAGACAAUGAGGUUAAUAGCCAGGUCCUUAGGCAGAACCUUGAGCCAGUACAGGUCCAUGUUUCCCAAUGGGGAUGGAUUUCCUUUCGGACAUACCGAGUGGAAAGCAGUUUAUCUGGAGCUCCGUCACCUGUGCUGUCUGGGUGGAGGGAGAGACCACAGGGAAGGCUGUAGCUGUGCCGGGCAGGUAGACCCCUAGGCUAUUAUGCUCCACGGAACAGCCCAGAGCCUGCCAUCCUGCAUGGACGUCCUUUUUUAGUCAAGGCUGCCUGGGAAUUAUUACUGUAACGCGUGUUUGGGGGAAGGGUGGUUUUGGGAGACGAUGGGAGGGGGUAGGCGUCUUAUUCCUAUGGGGUGGGUUGGAACUGGUAGGAGCUUCUGCUACAGCCCUCUGCUGUAUCUCCUUGUCCUCAGGAUCCACGUUGUUCCUCGGAGGAUUCUAAGUGAAGCAAUGAUAGGUCAAUGAAAGGGCGGGCUGCUGAAAACACGCCCCUUGAGGUUCUCCGAUGGCCUAAGCCAUACCCUAUGGUACCGGAAGGGUGCGCUGUUGUCGGUGGGAUCAUCUGAAGGCCAUCCCUUUCGAGCAGCUAGCUCAGAGUUAAACAGAACUAGGGAGAAGACAUAGGAGGCCGUUGUCUUAUUGGAUUUCCUGCCCGUUAGGAAGUCCUGUCUGUAACCUUGAAGACAGGAUGUGACCCCCACAUAAGUUCCUAACUUUGAUGACCCACAUUAUUAAUGGGCCCAUCACAGUGCUGUCCAAAGCUGGUCUCUCACUGGGACUGAGAAUGAAUGAGUUGCUCUUUGAAAGUAUUCUUCUCACCAUAGCCACACAGGACAAAUGUUGUCUCUCCCGCUCAGCACCUCUCUGUCAUUACCCUGAAUCUCUGUAGGUCGAAAGGCGGGAAUCCACUUGCCGACGCAUGUUAAGCCCCAGACUUCUGUGUGUCUCCACGAGGAGAAUGUCAGGCUGCCCCAGAAAGUGUUCUGCUUGUUGUAAAAGACGGAAUUUGCUGUUGAAGUCACAGUUUGCAAUCUUGAUGUUCACGCCAGCCUCUGAGGGUUUGUCUGCCUUGAAGGACAAUGCGCUUCUGAUAGUAGCUCCCACUAUUAGACAGUACUGUUGGAAUUUGCUUCAGGCCUCUGUUUUCUCUCCCACUGCCACGAGGCACCAGGUACCCAAAUACCUCUCUUCCACUAGCAAGUUUCAUUUUGUCUUUUUUUUUUUUUUGGAGCUGAGGACCGAACCCAGGGCCUUGUGCUUGCUAGGCAAGCGCCCUACCACUGAGCUAAAUCCCCAACCCCCACUAGCAGGAUUCACAACAAGGCUGUUUUUCCAAUGUAUCACUUGGAAUAUUCCACUCUGUUGGGAUUAUCGGACUCUUCACGUAGCCUUACCUCACAGGAUGUUCUCUGGAUGGCAGAGACAUGCUUCCAAGCCGGGUUAUCUUUGUUGAGGAUCCUUCAGAAGCAUAACUGCCUGUGUGGGUCUCCCUCGAGCAGAUAUGGCUAAGGGACCGUGCAGUUUGUCAGCCCUCCUGCUGGGCCUCAGUCAUGGUCCGGGGUCGGGGUGGGGUCAGCUUCAGUUUGAGAAAGGUGUACACUUGUUUCAAGUUAACCUCAAGUGGAAGUUCACCUGAUGAAUUUAACUUUAUGAUGGAUGUAGAACACACUGCUGGACAAAAAAAAUUAAAUAAUUUUCAAAGGAAAAAGUGAUUAAAAGAAAAAAGCGAAAGUUUAAAAGAUUAAAACUAGGGAGAGCUGUAAGGAGAAAUAAACCAGACCCAGCCAGGACUCGUAGGUGUUUGGGAUUGUAAAACGACGGCUUCAUAUAAGGUCACUUACAAGGCAAGGCUGAGAAUAGAAUUGUCAAAUAGCCCCUUUGCUUUAAGAAAAUUAUACAGGGUCCCAAAGAGCUUUUGUUUUUAUGUGGGUUCUGAUUACCAAUACUUACUUAUUAGAAAUAACCUAUAAGAUUCUUCAAUGGCCUUCUCAUUUCUAGUCUGCACAGGCCUCACACGGUGUUUGGCUUUUUCAGAGCUGUAUUAGAGCAACCUCGAUUAAUGGUUUCAGAGCGAUGCCUUGAUUUAACCGGCAUCGGGACAAACAACAACACAGCAAGUUACUUUAGGACUAAGCACAGAGGAGAUGGUUUCCGUCUGCCCGGGGUUUUUCUAGAGUAGGUUCUCUCUUUCGAAGAACUUUGGAACCUCCUGGGUCGGUCUCAGCAUUUUUAAAUGAAGCUGGGUGCCAAGGAAGCAAACUCUGUAGACUCAGCCACUCGGGAGGCUGAGGCAGGAGGAUCGCUGGAAUCUGGGAUGCUCCUGGCUCGUCUAGGCCACAUAGUUUAAGACCUUGUGUCUUAAAAAAAAAAAAAAGUAACUCGAGUCAGAAGACAUGGCAUCUGUGAAUUGAGAACCCUAUCUUCCACCCCACCCCCACGCCCUACCCCCACCCCCGCUUUUUUGACUCGACAGUGUGUUUUAUCCCUGUCUCUCACUCAAGGUGGGACAGCGCAUCCAAGUCCUGACUCGUUGUCAGGGCCGGCAGGUACUUUCCCCAUCCCUUUUAUUGAAGUUUAAUACUGACGCCGGUAAGUACCAAGUGUCAGUGCAUAGUCUGGUGACUCUUCACCAGUUGGACUCACCUAAUUUAACUCGCACAUGCGUCCAGUGUGGCACUAUAACGUGGUGUCCCAAGAUCCUUCUUCCCAGCCUCUUUUUCUGCAGUGGGCUCUCUUGUCUCACAGCACUUGGUUAGUUUAACCCGUUUUUUAACAUUAGGUAUGUAGAGUCACAAAUUGAAUAUUUUGUAUCUUUUCUUUUUUGUCGGUGAGGCCUAUAUGUCGUUUAUUAUUCUAAAUGUCAAUUGUGUGCCCAUGCAUCUGUUUAUUGGCCAUUUAAAGUCAUUCUCAGUUUCUGAAUGUUAAUCACAGUUCUAAACACUCUUAUGCAUACUUGGGGGGUGGGGGCAACCAUAAAAAAGGCAUCCUUGUUGGAGAUGUUCAUUUAGGAGAGAAAAUGGCGGCAUGUGGGUUAUGACUAUUUUAGUUUCAGUACAAAAGGAAGUGGCUUGGGCCGAUGGCCACAGCCAUCUGUAUGUAUCCUGGGUCUGGUCUGAUGUUUGGUGUUGCCUGAGUUUAAGGCCUUCGCCUUUCUGCGGGGCUGACGUAGUGCUUAACCUUGCAACUUGCAUUUCUUGGUGCCCAGUGGCCUUGAACAGUUGCUCAGGGGCCGUUCUCUCUUUGGAGAAGCACCAGUUCAUAUCGAGCACUUAUAUCUCAGCCAAGUGGCUUUCCUUUUUUAUGUGCAUUUCUGUCCGGAGCAGGAGACACAGCACAGUGUGGCCGCCCGCAGUUGUCUUCAGCUGAGCCAGGGAGCGUUUGGUAUGUGUAGCCAUGCUCCAUUCGGGUGAAAGGAGGAAUCAUUUUAGCCCAGACAGGCCUUGAACUUGCAACUCUCCUGCCUCAGCCUCCCAAGCAGCUGAGACCACCAUUUCUGUGAGAUGAAGUCAGACUGUUGACAGUAUUGGUCAAUAUGAACCAAAGCUGGAGCUUAUUAAGAAAAAGACAUUAAUAUAGAUGCCAGUAUGGACAUUAAGAGAGAGGGAAAGAGAAAGGUGGAAGAAGAGGACAGUAACAUACUCCCUGAAUGGGUGGAGACUUCUAAAGAAAGAGUCACUGGGACUGUCUUAACAGUGCCACCUCUCUCUCUCUCUCUCUCUCUCUCUCUCUCUCUCUCUCUCUCACACACACACACACACACACACACACACACACACACCUUGGUGGCCUCCAAAGUUGCACUGUUGAAAGAAUUUAAAAGAUCCAGUGGAAAUGUUUUGGUAUAGUUAGAGUUAUUAUCUAAGGAGUUGACUUUGAAAUUGGGUUUUCAAGGUGGUUUAUAAUGCCGUCAACAUAAAACAUAACUCAAAUGGAACAAGAGAUAGCUUAUUCUGAGCCAGACAUGAGUGGCUAGGUCUCGGGAACAGGGACCCAGGUUGCUUGAAACCACACGCUCCAAUGUGAAAAUGGUUGUGUUAAGGUUUAUGAAAGUCAAGUCAUGAAGCAAGGCAUUUUUUUUUCAAAUCUACUGGUAGGAAUGUCCAGUAGUAGGUGGGUAUAGAAAGGCAGGGUGACCUCUGCUAUAGGCUUCAGAUGCUGUCAUGGAUAUUUUGGCCUUGAGAUUGGUGGAAACUAGUGGUCUGCUAAGGUCCCAAAGUCCGGAGGUUUGGCCUGACAGCCACAAGGUUCCGGAAUAGAUACCAGUGUAUGUCUGUGAGGAAAGUCAAGAGAGCCAAGGAUAGUUUGACUCUGGAUCUUCCACAUUUAACUUUGGACAGUCACAAAACUCUUCACCAACCAGUCAGCUCUGAGAAGCCUUUGAGAAGGUGUGGGCUUUGUUUUGUUUUUUUCUGGGAACAUUACUUCACAGAGCACUACACAGUUUUGCCAGCUGAUAAACCGUCAGUCAAAUUGGGCACAGCGGCACACAUCAGGUGGAGGCAGGAGGAGCAGGAGUUUCAGGAUGUCCUCGGCUACAUAUCAUGUUGGAGGCUAUCCUACUCUUUAUGAAACCUCGUCUCAACUAAAUGAGAGUCAGAGGAAUCCUUACUAUACGCUGGUGACAAGGAGGUCAAGGUGUUAUGUGGUUCCUAAUCUUGUUUGUGAAACUUGCAGACGACGGGGCGAGGGGCUCCCUUUCCUCCUCGCGUCCUCCAUUAAUUUCCCCGUUGACAUUUCUAGCCUGCUUCUGUCGGCUGUGAAUGCUUCACUGGCUAUGGUCCUGUGUACAUUUCCUCCGUUCUCUGAAUUCUGAUGUUAAUCUUCAAUCUGCUAGCUCACCCCUAGUGAACCAACUUCUUGUCACUUGAAUACGACAGGUACUUUCCCAUCCUGAAUUCUGUACUGGCUCCUUUUACUGCUGGGGACAGCCCUUCUCAGACGUCCACAUCGUUCUUCCCCUAACUUUUGGCUCCCAGAUCUAGCUAUAUGUCCUCACAAGACUCGUAGCACACCUCAUGUACUCUGUCCAUCCCUUCUUUUUCAAUUAAAAAAAAGUGUUUUGGAGACAGGAUCUUACUCUGUAACUAAGGCUGGCCUCAGACUUCCAUACUCCUCCUACAGCCUACUGCAUGCUGGGAUUAUAGGUGUGAGUCCCCAUGGCCAACUCUACCACUGUAUUUUGAGACAGGGUCUCCUGUAGCACAGGCUGGCCCUGAAAUCCUGAUCCUUCUGCUGCCUUUACAGCGACAACGUGGUGUGGGUACGUGUCAUUGUGUCUCCCAUAACUCUGUACUAGGAAAUAUCCAACUUUGCAUGAUUACUGUAAGAAUUAGAAUAUGGGUCUGUUUUACUCCCUCUCUCCAUAUACUCAGUAUAGCUGCUAUUUUUAUCUGCUGUCUUCAUCUUUCCUUUUUUUUUUUUUUUGAUAAUGCAUCUCCUCCUCCUCCUCUUACUCCCUUAACAUGAGGCCAAACUACAAAGACCAAGCCAUCCUUAAAUCCUAAUCUUUCUGCUCCACCUUUCUCAAAUGCUGUGAGUAGGGGCAUGAUCUACCUCAUCCCGCCUUAAUGACUUCUUAUUCCCUCAGUCCUGGUGUUUAUGCUGAUGGUGACUCCUGCAUGGUAGGCUCCUAGACCAGGUGACAUCAGCCAACCUUAAUGAGGUGGGGUUGGGGCUGAGUCUAGAUGGACUCAGACUAUCAUUCAGAUACUAAGUCUUAAGCCAAACAAAACAAAACGCCCUCUGAAGGCUGACGCUCAAGUAAUGGCCUCUAGUUGACAAUACUUAUGGUCAUUAUCUCUGUUGGGAGGGCAUGCUGUUCCGAGCACGAGAAAAGCGCCACAUCUGGAUGCUCGCUCGCACAGUCAGUCUUGUGGUUGUUGCUUUGGUUAAUUUUGACCUGUAUACUUGCCCUGAAAUAAAAGGCUACUGC